rnacentral:rRNA from 1 species
UACAGAGGGUGCAAGCGUUAAUCGGAAUUACUGGGCGUAAAGCGUGCGUAGACGGUUAUUUAAGUCAGGUGUGAAAGCCCCGGGCUCAACCUGGGAAUGGCAUUUGAGACUGCAUAGCUAGGGUGCGGAAGAGGGAAGCGGAAUUUCCGGUGUAGCGGUGAAAUGCGUAGAUAUCGGAAGGAACACCAGUGGCGAAAGCGGCUUCCUGGUCCAGCACCGACGUCAGGCACGAAAGCGUGGGGAGCAAACAGG